rnacentral:rRNA from 1 species
GGGAUAGAAUUCCAGGAGUAGCGGUGAAAUGCGUAGAUAUCUGGAGGAAUACCAAAGGCGAAGGCAGUCCCCUGGUCCGAUACUGACACUGAGGUACGAAAGCGUGGGGAGCAAACAGGAUUAGAUACCCUGGUAGUCCACGCCCUAAACGAUGUCGAUUAGCCAUUGGAAGGACCCCUUUUCCUUUCAGUGACGUAGCUAACGCGUUAAAUCGACCGCCUGGGAAGUACGACCGCAAGGUUAAAACUCAAAGGAAUUGACGGGGACCUGAACAAGCGGUGAAUGAUGUGGAUUAAUUCGAUGCUACGCGAAGAACCUUACCUACCUUUGACAUGGCCAAAAUUCUACCGAGAGGCGGAAGUACUCGUAAGAGGAUUGGCGCACAGGUGCUGCAUGGUUGUCGUCAGUUCGUGUCGUGAGAUGUUGGGUUCAGUCCCGCAACGAACGCAACCCUUAUCUUUAAUUGCUCCUAUUUUAACAGGCACUUUAAAGAAACUGCCAAUGAUAAGUUGGAGGAAGGUGGGGAUCACGUCAAGUCCGCAUGGCCUUUAUAGGUAGGGCUUCACACGUCAUACAAUGGUUAGAACAAAGAGCUGCAAAUUCGUAAGAAGGAGCCAAUCUCACAAACCUAACCUCAGUUCGAAUUGCGGUCUGCAACUCGAGCGCAUGAAGCCGGAAUCGCUAGUAAUCGUGGAUCAGAAUGCCACGGUGAAUACGUUCUUAGGUCUU